ensembl:lncRNA
GAAAUUGGUGCUCCUCCUGUCUGUCAGAUGAAAAUGGGCUGCAACUGUUUGGCCCACGUCAAACCCACUAAUCAGGUCCAUGUUUUCCUUGUUGAAUGGGAGCUUUGGGGAAUUGCAAGGGGCAGAGGGAGUGGAGGGCCGCAGUCACACAGCAGCAGAGUGUGAGUUGUUUUCAUCUCCCACUUGGCUCCACGUUGAGCUGGUGGACUCUUACAUCUAUGGUAAGAGUCAGCUAGGUGGAAAAAGUAGUUGGUGCCAAAGCUCUCCCACACUGGAGUUUAAAUUGCCUUCGAAGAGGCUGAGCUUUGUGAGCUUCUGAUAAUAAACCUGGCUCUCCCAGGCAGGCCUGGUGAGUUCAGACAGGGAGUUUCCAGCUAUCUGGGGCCAGCAUCCUGCUCUUGGCUUUUCACGUCCUUAGAGUGACUGUAAAGGACAGCUGCUGGAUCGCAGGCAUUGUUCUCCUUUUUGGGCACUCUCAGGGCUCAGAAAUUCACAUUUGGAGGCCCGAAAUCACUGGUGGCUGUGACAUCCUUGUUUACUGACAUGACAGGAAACACUCAAUUUCACUUGCUAAUAUAGUAAGGUUAACAUAUGAUGAGACUCAGAGUCUGUUGGAGGUCAAAUUGGUCACCAUCUUGGUCCCAGCUGGUUCCAUCUGGUUUUUUGGUUGGUAACUUCCUUUCUUAUCUCUGGACCCUUUAACUUAAAGAUUUAUGUUGUGUGUAUUAGUCAUUCAGUCAUGUCUGACUCUUUGCAACCCCAUGAAC